AUUGCAGACCAGGAGCCCUUAAACGAAAACAAGGGGGGGGCUCGGGUGCUGAGGAGGGGCGAGGUCCCCGCUCCCAGUAAGUGGUUACCACAUUAGAAUUGUCUUAAAUGCCAGAGAAUUGGUUAGUGGGUACCUCCUACCAACUUUUGGGAAACACUGUGAGUUUGGCUCACGAUUUCCGGGGGCACAUGGGAGAGGUGACCGAGGUCAAGCUAGUCUUGCAGAGUUAAUCUGUUUGCAUGACCAAGCUGGGGUUGUUUGCUCAGGGAAUGCUCAAGGCUGGUGUCUGUUUGCUUUGGAUGCUGACACGCACGGCGCUGGCGGGCGGGGAAGAGGGCCGAGCGCACCGGGCUCCACCGUGAGCCUCAGGACCCGAUCUUCUUAGUGAUAAAACCCACAAGAAUGUAAAAAUACUAGACGCCGAGGGCCGGACCGUGAGGGUAGCUUUUCAGAAAGCCAAUCCCACUCUGAUGGAAAAUGAACUUUGACCCGCGUGGGACUGCUCUCAUCGUGCUAAGUGACCAACACCCUCGGCAGGGAGACCCCGGGUGAUCCGCUCUGCUCCAAAGGGAUGGCAGGCUGGCUGGGGUCGGGAGGCUUCCGAGUGAGCAGUCUGCCUCCUGACCGACUGGAACUCCUCGCGCAGUGUGUGUCUUCGCCCAGUCCUGCCAUCCCCUCAACACUCGCCUCCAGAUCCGGGGAGCACUGGAAAGAGAAGCACUAUUCAACAAUAACGAGCAAAAUGACGUGGAUGCUAUGAACUUAACAAUUCCAUUUGGGAAGAUCUGUCACCUAACAAAGCAAAGCUGCCUCACUGCCACAUGCAGAGCAGAGUGAGAAGAAUCAUGCGUGCUGCCUCCCACGGCCAAGGAAAGCUGCGCCCGUGGCGAGGGGAGAGGAGGGCCGGCAUCCGAGGGGCAGAGGACCAGACGACAACUUCAUUCUCUCCCCAAAAAAGAGGGGACUGGACUCCCCUGGGGACCUGGCUCAGGCUCCCCACACACUGCCGCGACGGGGCCCUUAAGCAUCUCUCAGUCCCGGGACCAGAAGUCCUAGAUGGAUGUGGCAGCAGAUACUACAAACCUUGCCUCGGUCUGCAGUGCAAACUCCAAAACGUGGCAAAGGGUGGAGCAAAGCCCCUUGGCGGACGAUUAAGAACCACAGCCGUUUACACAAAUUGGCCCCGGGUUCUCAAGCAUCUGAACGCCUCCUAUGCAUGGGGGACAGGACGCCGACAGGUGGGACCCUGCCCCUGUGGUGUUCACAGGCUAGAGGCUGUGCCUGAGCACCGGAGCUGCGGAAUGGGAAGCAGCCUACCGCUGCUAGACGCUGAGCUCUGACAGCCUGCUUUCACCGGGUUCUGGAAGUCCCAUCACCAUCUGACAUGAAAGGGGGCGGUUACUGAGCAGCUUCCCCUUCCUGCUCCAGAACUACCAGAAUAUGAACAUUAGGGAGACAUCGACACAUGGAGGAUACAGUCUUCCUUUUAAGGCCCAGGCUUGCC